AAGUCGAGGGGAAACGACAUCGAAAGCUUGCUUUUGAUGGGCGUCGACCGGCGCACGGGUGAGUAACGCGUAUCCAACCUGCCCACCACUUGGGGAUAACCUUGCGAAAGUAAGACUAAUACCCAAUGAUAUCUCUAGAAGACAUCUGAAAGAGAUUAAAGAUUUAUCGGUGAUGGAUGGGGAUGCGUCUGAUUAGCUUGUUGGCGGGGUAACGGCCCACCAAGGCGACGAUCAGUAGGGGUUCUGAGAGGAAGGUCCCCCACAUUGGAACUGAGACACGGUCCAAACUCCUACGGGAGGCAGCAGUGAGGAAUAUUGGUCAAUGGGCGAGAGCCUGAACCAGCCAAGUAGCGUGCAGGAUGACGGCCCUAUGGGUUGUAAACUGCUUUUAUAAGGGAAUAAAGUGAGUCUCGUGAGACUUUUUGCAUGUACCUUAUGAAUAAGGACCGGCUAAUUCCGUGCCAGCAGCCGCGGUAAUACGGAAGGUCCGGGCGUUAUCCGGAUUUAUUGGGUUUAAAGGGAGCGUAGGCCGGAGAUUAAGCGUGUUGUGAAAUGUAGACGCUCAACGUCUGCACUGCAGCGCGAACUGGUUUCCUUGAGUACGCACAAAGUGGGCGGAAUUCGUGGUGUAGCGGUGAAAUGCUUAGAUAUCACGAAGAACUCCGAUUGCGAAGGCAGCUCACUGGAGCGCAACUGACGCUGAAGCUCGAAAGUGCGGGUAUCGAACAGGAUUAGAUACCCUGGUAGUCCGCACGGUAAACGAUGGAUGCCCGCUGUUGGUCUGAAUAGGUCAGCGGCCAAGCGAAAGCAUUAAGCAUCCCACCUGGGGAGUACGCCGGC
rnacentral:rRNA from 1 species